rnacentral:lncRNA from 1 species
UCAUGCGAGGACGCAGGACAGGGAGGCAGUCCAGGGCCCUUGGAGGCGAUUGCAUCUGGGCUUGAGGCUGUGACAUCAGAGGACGGCACGUCAGGACAUGUCUCCCCCUUCCCUGGGAACCAAGCCGUGGGGACAGCAUGCUCGGGUGGGGCCUGAUGUGGAGCCCUGCCCUUUGCACCUCAAUCCCCAUGUCCCACCAGUAACUCCCUUGAUCACAGAGGCCAGGCUUCACGGGUUCCAUUCUUUGCAACUUAAAUGCCUUGACUGGAACAGCCCGUAACUAGCCAUCUGCUCUCGGGCAAUUAUGGGCUCGAGAGACCCAUCCCGCUUACCAGCAAUGUUGUAACUUCCUGACAUGGCUGUGCAACCAACACUGCGGGAGGGUUAAUGAUGGCACCUCUCUGGGGCAAGGUGACAGACCCAGAUAUAAAAACAGACCGUGGUAGAUGGAGAACGCCCACAGUACUAUGGGAAGGUGGGGUUCUAGUUUUCUUCUGUGUGUAUAUGUGUGUGUGUUUGUAUGUAUGUGUGCCCCACGGGAUACGGAUGAGGGAUGCGAUCCAAGCUGCAAUUGUGACCUACACCACAGCUGUGGCAAUGCCCAGUCCUUAACCUCCUGUGCUGGGCUGGGGAUCAAGCCUAUGUCCCAUCACUACAGAGAUGCUGCUGAUCCUGCUGUGCCACAGUGGGAACUCUUGUAUUGCUUUGUUGUUGUUUUGUUUUGUUUUGUUUUGUCUUUUUGCCUUUUCUAGGGCUGCUCCCGCGGCAUAUGGAGUUUCCCAGGCUAGGGCCGGUGGCUGUACCUCUGGUUCCACCCCUAGCCUGGGAAUCUUCAUAUGCUGCAGGUGAGGCCUUAAAAAGACCAAAACAAAAGAAAGAAAAGGAAAAAACCUAUGGAGUUCCCUGGUGGAUCAGUGAGUUAAAGAUCCAACUUUGUCACUGCUGUGGCUCAAGUUGCUGCUGUGGCAUGGGUUCCAUCCCUGGCUGGGGAAUUUCCACAUGACUUGAGCAUGGCCAAAAAAAAAAAAAAAAAAAAAAAAAAAAACACCCUAAAAAGACAUUCACCAGAAUGGCAACAAGAGUUAGGUCGUUUUAUUUUUUUAAAUAGAGUUUAUUUUUUAGAGCAGUUUUACACUGAUAGCAAUAUUGAGCAGAAGGUACGGAAGUUUCCCGUAUGCCCCUCCCUGCACCUGCCCACAACCUCCCCCGCCACCAGCAUCCCCACCAGAGGGUACGUUCGUUACAAUGGGUGAAGCUACACCGACAGGUCGUUAUCACCUAGAGUCCACAGCUGACAUCCGGGCUCACUCUUGGGGCUGUGCAGUCCAUGGCUUUUGACAAAUGUGUGAUGACAUGAACCCACCGUCAGAGUAUCAUACAGAAUAUUUUCACUGCCCUGAAAAUCCCCUGUAUCUGCCCGUUCUAGGGAGUAAUUCUAAGUGUACACACGUACAUUUUUUCUUCAUUUUUCCGUUUGUUGUAUGGUGUGUAUGAAUUACUUUCACAAUAAAAAUAAUUUUAAAG